rnacentral:misc_RNA from 1 species
UCCGCAUGCUUAUCUGCUCGCUGUUUCAGAAGAAACGUUUUUACAGCUGAUUACGCAAGUCUCCAAAAGCACUAAUAAUCACUGCAGUUCGCAUUACUUUAUGCGAAUUCAAGCACGGCAGCUUCGUGACGGACGUCCGUUCUAUAUGCGUGUCCUACAAUAUGCAGACAAUGAAGCAGUUCACCUUGUAUUGUACGAUGCUCUGCGUAUUUGCCGCACUUGCUGGCAGCAACAAUCCAGAGCAAGGACCACGCCCCUGCAAGAAGGUAGCAAUUUGCUACGACCAUUGGGAAAUUAUCUGCCGCGGAAACAAUGGACACUGGUCAUAUAGUUGUGAAAACACGAAAGGAACUUGCAAGCAAUAUUGGCGACAAACUUGCAGAUCAUCGCUUAUUCCUUACUGCCAGAAAAUUCCUGUACGUUGCAUCUGUCGGUGUGCAAAGGCAACGGCUUUAUAAUACAUUUUUGCACCGAUAUUAAAAAUCGGAGGAAGAAGACAGGCCCUGCAACGCAGAUUCUUCUAUUUGGGUUAGAUUUUAUACGAUGAGCGGAAAAUUAAUCGCUUCUCUAUUAACAUAGUUACUGAUGCCAACCCUCAAGUGCCUGGGCAUGUUAACAAAGAAUAUUUUAGCAAUGACUGUAGUCCGUUUUGAAAGUAAAACUUCUUUACUUUGCACACAUUUCACAAACUUGCAUCAGCACAACGAACCGAAUUUUUUGUGUGUAGUGUAUCGAAGCCAAAUUUCGUGCACUUCAAUACAGCGAUG